GGUGUUGGACCAUUACAUUGGGCCGAAAAUGUAGAAGGAAAGAGUGAAUGGGCUUAAGUUGUUGGGCCGAUUUUUCUUUAUUUUCAGAUGGGCCAAUGUUUAUUAAUUCCUUGGGCCCUAAAUUUAUAUCAAUUGGGUCAGUUUUAUUUUAAACUUUGGGUUGCCUUGAUUAAUUAAAUUAAUUGAGCAUGGGCUAUAUUUCAUCUAUUUAAAUGGCUUCCCUAUUUUAUUUAAUUAGACUAAUAAUUAGUUUGAUUAAAUUAUUUUUAAAGAUGAUUUGCAUUAUAAUAUUAUUAGCAUUAUGAAGUGCAUAUUUUCAAAUAAUUACUUAUUACAUUAUUAAAGUAUGAAAUGAGCUAUGCAUUUGCAUCAUGAUUUAAUUGGUUUUAAUUAUAAUUCCAAUUAUUAAAGAAAGACGAGUAAGAAUAUUGUUGGUGUUCUUAACUCAAGAGAAAUGUUUUCAAUUAUUUAUUAAAUUUUGAAAACCCGGCUAAGUGAAUCAUAGAAUGUUAAGCACUACACCAUGACUUAAG
rnacentral:lncRNA from 1 species